AGCAGCCGCGGUAAUUCCAGCUCCAAUAGCGUAUAUUAAAGUUGUUGCAGUUAAAAAGCUCGUAGUUGAACUUCGGGAUCAAUUGAUUGGUCAUGCUUUAGUAUGUACUGGUCAUAUUGGUUCUCACCUUCUAAAGAACCAUAAUGUCAUUCACUUGAUGUUAUGGGGAAUUAGGACUGUUACCUUGAAAAAAUUAGAGUGUUUAAAGCAGGCUUACGCUUGAAUACAUUAGCAUGGAAUAAUGAAAUAGGACAUCGCAUUCUAUUUUGUUGGUUUCUAGGAUCGAUGUAAUGAUUAAUAGGGAUAGUUGGGGGCAUUAGUAUUCAAUUGUCAGAGGUGAAAUUCUUGGAUUUAUUGAAGACUAACUACUGCGAAAGCAUUUGCCAAGGAUGUUUUCAUUAAUCAAGAACGAAAGUUAGGGGAUCGAAGACGAUCAGAUACCGUCGUAGUCUUAACCAUAAACUAUGCCGACUAGGGAUCGGAUGAUGUUGAUUUUUAAAUGACU
rnacentral:rRNA from 1 species